rnacentral:rRNA from 1 species
AGCGAACGCUGGCGGCAGGCCUAACACAUGCAAGUCGAACGAACUCUUCGGAGUUAGUGGCGGACGGGUGAGUAACACGUGGGAACGUGCCUUUUGGUUCGGAAUAACUCAGGGAAACUUGUGCUAAUACCGAAUGUGCCCUUCGGGGGAAAGAUUUAUCGCCAUUAGAGCGGCCCGCGUCUGAUUAGCUAGUUGGUGAGGUAGCGGCUCACCAAGGCGACGAUCAGUAGCUGGUCUGAGAGGAUGACCAGCAACACUGGGACUGAGCCACGGCCCAGACGGCAGGGAGGGGAGGGGGAGGGGAAACUAGGGGAGGGGGCGAGAGCCUGAAGCACCGCGGCCGGGAGAAUGUGGAGGGGGUUGGGAUUGAAAAAUUCUUGCACCGGGGAGUGAAUGAAGGGAACGGGGAAAAAAGCCCCGGCUAAAUAUGUG